CAUUAUUUCAACGUUGUUGAGUUGAAUGUUUUGUUUGAAGUUGAAACAACUUGCUUGGUGUAAAAGGCUCUUUUUCUGAGCAAACAGAACUUAUCAGGUUGAUUCUUGAUAGGAAGGCGAAAUAAAUUUCAAAUUUUCAGUCAAAUCUGGAAAUUAGUGAGUAAAAAUGGCGAUUUUUCGGAUUAAACUUGAGCUAUAAAGAAUGACGGUGGACCCAAGUUCGUGUGGAUUAGAAGAAAUCCCUUUACGAAAUAUGUAUCAUAAAGUUUCAACUGAUAGGAUUGUUUUCUUUUUGGUAAUGAGAAGCUGUUGCCAGAUAGGAUUUUUUGAAAUUUGACUCACAACGAAAGUAAUCAGGUUCCAGUGAGUAGUUUGGAAACUCCUUAGGUCGUACAACUUCAACACCCUGAAUCUGACGAUGCCUAUCUACAUUCUAGAUCCUGUAUACUUGAAUUUCAGGAAAAAAUUAGCUGAAUAAUAUCGUCCUGGAAGCUAAAUGUUGAUUGAAGCUCGGCUGAGCGAUGGCCCGAUGGUUUUGGUCGAUUGGUUCCUUCAAAUUUGAAAUGUAAGAAACUGAAGAUUAAUGAAACCUGAAGUGGCAAUAUAGAGAUUUUCUAACUGAAUCGAAUCUUUUUUGCAAAGGAGCAGGAAUCCAGUGAAGAAUAACAAAAAUUGUUACUGUUCACAAAAUCGUUCGAUAUUACAAUGGGUAAUUUAAUUUUAAAAUUUUUCAAUUCCUAUACCUUGCAUUGUCGACUUCGUUCAACGUGGCUCCUUUUUUCUACGAAAUACAAUUUUGAAAAUCUCGAAUGGAAGGUUAGGUAUAUAGACGAAGAUCUUGUGAAUUCUGCUCAAGCAGUUUCAAUAUUUUGUGCUAUCGUACUGUCAGAUCAACCACAAAUUUUCCUCAAUUUUUCCCAACUUUGCGUAGCAUGAUUCGAAUGUUGAAGAGUUUUUUUUUUUUUUACGACGAAGAAGUUGAGGAUAGUAGGAAGUAUCGUAAUGAUGAUUCGUAGCUCGUAGGUACAUUUUGAGUAUUUAAAAAAAAAAGAAGGGAGUUCAACGUUGCUAGCUGUCUUAUUGUUAUUCAGCGUGAAAUGAAUCGAUGUUGCGUUGAUCAUGAUCCUGAAGUCUCAAUAAAAUGCUAAGUGCUGUAAAGUAAAAAUUUCCAUUUUUGUGAUUGCAACACGGUAAAUAAAUACUAUCGUUAUUUACCUUGGAUUGCAAUGAAAAUUCCGGCCAUUUUCUUGGGAUAUUUAAACUUGUAAAGAUGUCAUGUUUAGUGACUUAUUUCAUCAAUCUGCUGGUGAAUGGUUCUCUCAGUAGUCAGUUCUUAGAACUUAGAACAGAUGUUGCUGCAGCUUACAGCUUACAAAAAUACAAAUUGUUGUUGAAAUAUUAAAUUGUACCUAUGUAGUAACAUUGA